rnacentral:rRNA from 1 species
CCUACGGGAGGCAGCAGUGGGGAAUUUUGCGCAAUGCGCGUAAGCGUGACGCAGCGACGCCGCGUGAAUGACGAAGGCCUUCGGGUCGUAAAGUUCUUUCGGCAGGGAAGAAAAUGCCUAUAAGUAACUGUGUAUGUAUUGACGGUACCUGUAUAAGCAGCCCCGGCUAACUCCGUGCCAGCAGCCGCGGUAAUACGGAGGGGGCGAGCGUUGUUCGGAGUGACUGGGCGUAAAGAGCACGUAGGCGGUGUUGUAAGUCAUUAGUCAAAGACUAGGGCUCAACUUUAGUAAGGCUAGUGAUACUAUAAUACUAGAGUAUCAGAGAGGAGUGCAGAAUUCCUAGUGUAGCGGGGAAAUGCG